rnacentral:lncRNA from 1 species
CUUUUCCUGUUUUCUUCAUUUUUUGCAUUUUUUAUAUAUUUACUUUUUUUUUAGUAUUUUCUGUUUUUUUUCUUGUUUUUUUUUACUGUUUUUCUUUUGCANUUUUUUUUUAUAUUUUGGUUUUUUUUAUCCUUUAUGGUAUUUUCUUUGUUUUUCGUUUGUUUUUUAUUUAUUAUUUUUCUUUUGCAUUUUUUUAUAUAUUUUUGUGAAAGAUGUAAUACUUUUAAAAUAUUACAUUUCUUCAUAACAACAAUUACUUUUUAUGACGACAAUAAUUACGUGAGCAAAUAACUGUUACUUUUAUUCAUGAGAAUUUGUACUUUUAGUUAUUUGAUCAAAUAAUUAUUCGUGUAAGAAAAAAUAAUAAUUGAUAUGAAUAAAAGUAAUAAUUUUCUCAAAUUAAAU